UACGGGGGGGGCAAGCGUUGUUCGGAAUUACUGGGCGUAAAGGGCGCGUAGGCGGUCAGAUAAGUCAGCUGUGAAAACCUCGGGCUUAACCCGAGGCCUGCAGUUGAAACUGUUUGGCUGGAGUGUGGGAGAGGAGAGUGGAAUUCCCGGUGUAGCGGUGAAAUGCGUAGAUAUCGAGAGGAACACCUGCGGCGAAGGCGGGUUGCUGGGCUGACACUGACGCUGAAGCGCGAAAGCUAGGGGAGCGAACGGG
rnacentral:rRNA from 1 species